rnacentral:rRNA from 1 species
GACGAACGCUGGCGGCGUGCCUAAUACAUGCAAGUCGAGCGAACGGACCAGGAGUUUGCGUGUCUGGGGUUAGCGGCCGAGGGGUGCGGAACAUGGGGUUGGCCUACCAAUAAGACUGGGAUACUUACGGGAAACAGGAGCUAAUACCGGAUAAUAUUUUGAACCGCGUGGGUCACGAGUGAAAGACGGUCUUGCUGUCACUAAAAGAUGGAUACGCGCUGCAUUCGCUGGUUGGCAAGGUAACGGCUUAGCAAGGCAACUAUGGAUAGCCGACCUGAGAGGGUGGUCGGCCACCUGGUAUCUGAGACUCGUCCCCGACUCCUACGGGAGGCAGCAGUCGGGAAUCCUCCGCAAUGGGCCAGAGCCUGACGGAGCACCGCCGCGUGAGUGAUGAAGGUCCUCGGAUCGUAAAACUCUGUUAUUAGGGAAGAACAUAUGUGUAAUUAACCGUGCACAUCUUGACGGUACCUAGUCAAAAAGCCCCGGCUAACUACGUG